CGGGGCCUGCAGCUCGCUUUUCAUUAGCUUCGUGGUAAAUCCGUUUCUGGCCAUCUGAGGUUCAUACUAAGUGUGUCUUAAAUUGUCAUUUUCUAGGUCCAAGAGAAUUCAAAGAUACUUGUUGGAGCAGAGCUUGCUUAUCUGGCAAUCUCGUCUGGAGCCAUUAGUCAAGAAAUUUGUGUCAGCCUCCUGCUGUGUUGACUCUGGGAGCAAUGUGCUGAACAUCAACUCUCGGACUUCCCUCUUGCUCUUUAUGGGAAGCAUGACGCCCCUCUCCUUGAGAGCUUCCGGAACCGGGAAGAGCCGUGCUCUCGUGGGAAAGCACGGCCUUGGCCACGGGCGCCUCGGUCUAAGGUGUGUUUGUUCUGCUUGUGCUAAGUGUUGAAGUGUUUUGCCAACAUUUUUUAACUCCAUCCUGUCCGUGAAAGGGCUUACUAAUGUGUUUAGUUACAAACAAGAGAUGAUUUUUUAAGAAAUGGAAAACAGUGA
rnacentral:lncRNA from 1 species